UACGAAGGGGACUAGCGUUGUUCGGAAUUACUGGGCGUAAAGCGCACGUAGGCGGAUUUGUAAGUCAGGGGUGAAAUCCCGGGGCUCAACCUCGGAACUGCCUUUGAUACUGCAAAUCUCGAGUCCGAUAGAGGUGGGUGGAAUUCCUAGUGUAGAGGUGAAAUUCGUAGAUAUUAGGAAGAACACCGGUGGCGAAGGCGGCCCACUGGAUCGGUACUGGCGCUGAGGUGCGAAAGCGUGGGGAGCAAACAGG
rnacentral:rRNA from 1 species